rnacentral:misc_RNA from 1 species
AGGCAUACGAUCAGCGUAGAGCUGGCGCACAGCAGUCGAUUCGCACACAGCGACGGCAGCGGCAUCAUCGUUGCCUCUCUCCCCCCGUGUGUAUAUACAUAUAUAUAUAUAUAUGUAUAUUCGUGUGUUGUUAAACACAAGUACGUACAGAAAGCGCUCCCUCCCCCCGUUACCACCUCUGACGUGCCCACCCUGCUCGCACACUCGCUCGACAACUUGAGAACUGCACAAGAAGGAAGGAGGCAUGGGCGCGCCGCACUUGAAUUCCAUUCGCGCCUGCUUGGCCGGCUCCGGCCACGACGCCUUCAGUGAGCCUGUCACGAUCGACCACCUCCUCUCACUCGUGGCGACACCCAAGACCGGGGUGGUGAGUGUCGCCUACGUUGGUACCGCCACCUACGACCUCGCAGAGAGCCAGGCGGAGCAGACAUCCCUGCUACUGCAACGUGGCUGGACGGUUCGACCGAUCCAAGUUGCUGACCCUGCCGUGAAGGCGGUCAACGACGGCGAUGCGCAUUUUAUUCAAACCGCGGCCGAUAUUGUACUCGUCUCGGGCGGCAACACACUCUACGCGGUGCGGCGGUGGGAAGAAACGGGGCUCGCGCGGCUGCUCAAGGACGCUGCGGCGCGCCAGGUCGUUAUGGCGGGCGGCAGUGCCGGUGCGAUCUGCUGGUUCACCUCGGGCCACAGCGACUCCGCAGACCCCGCAACGUACCUGCAGCCGUCGUUGAAGAGGGCGGCACUGAAGAUGGGCCUGAUCCCGCAAGAUCAGAUCUCCAAGACCGAGGCAGAACUCGCGGAUCUCAGCACCUCCUGGUCCUACAUCCGCGUGCGUGGCCUCAACAUUCUGCCGGGGAUGCUGUGCCCCCACUUUGAUGUAACUCAAGGCAACGGCGUACGACGUGAGGAGGACUUCACCAAGAUGCUGAAGCGGCACCCAACCGAGCGGGGCAUCGGCGUGGAUCACUGGGCGCUGCUCAUCCUGAAGGGCGACGGCACGUACGAGAGUGCCGCGCUGCCGGGCAAGACCCGCGUCACGACCCCAGGCAAUACCUCGCCCACUUCAACGGUGCCGGGCAUCUUUGUCCUGGAUGUGGUGGACGGUGCUGUCCAGCGACGCCGCGUGCCCACGACGGGGCAGCUGUCGGAUGUCCUGCGAGAGCCGGCGGGGCCAGUGGUGCUGGAUCCGUUUGAGCGUUUCCACGCCAUGGAAAACCCGACGUCGUCGUCCGGGUCUUUGAUGCAGCGCUGAGCUGCGUGGGUGCACGCCAGUCCCGGCGACACUGUCUCAGCCUUUUGCCACAGCCCUGGUGACUGGUUGUUCGAGCGAAGCACAUGGACGGGAGCGACCGCUCAGAGAGAGAGAGGGAGAGAAGCACAACAGGUGAUGCAAGCCAGAAUAUAUGUCAGACCUUUCCCACACAUAUACAUACAUACGCACGUACAUAUCCCGCACACCGCUGCCUCCCUCCCUGCCUCUCGCUCUCUCUCCUCUCCCACGCAGGCAUACACGCGAAGGUGCGGAGAGGGAGAGAGGCACGAGGAGGGUCACGGAGGCACCGCUGUCGCUUACUUUGUUUUGUCUUUGGGUGUGUGUCUGUGUGUGUGUGCACGUGUGUAUAAGCUCGAAACGCCCCGACAGAU